UCCGGCUUAUCACCGGCAGUCCCCCUAGAGUGCCCAACUGAAUGAUGGCAACUAAGGGCGAGGGUUGCGCUCGUUGCGGGACUUAACCCAACAUCUCACGCCGUAAACGAUGGAUGCUAGCCGUCGGGGAGCUUGCUCUUCGGUGGCGCCGCUAACGCUUUAAGCAUCCCGCCUGGGGAGUACGGUCGCAAGAUUAAAACUCAAAGGAAUUGACGGGGGCCUGCACAAGCGGUGGAGCAUGUGGUUUAAUUCGAUACAACGCGCAAAACCUUACCAGCCCUUGACAUAUGAACAACAAAACCAGUCCUUAACGGGAUGGUACUGACUUUCAUACAGGUGCUGCAUGGCUGUCGUCAGCUCGUGUC
rnacentral:misc_RNA from 1 species